CAGGAUAUAGCUAAGACAGAAAAGCAUCUCCCUUACACCGAGAAGACACCCGUGCAAAUCGAGUUAUCCUGA
rnacentral:tRNA from 1 species